rnacentral:rRNA from 1 species
GACGAACGCUGGCGGCAGGCUUAACACAUGCAAGUCGAACGCAUCCUUCGGGGUGAGUGGCAGACGGGUGAGUAACGCGUGGGAACGUGCCCUUCAGUUCGGGAUAACCCAGGGAAACUUGGGCUAAUACCGGAUACGUGCGAGAGCAGAAAGAUUUAUCGCUGAAGGAUCGGCCCGCGUCUGAUUAGCUAGUUGGGGGGGGAAUGGCCCACCAAGGCGACGAUCAGAAGCUGGUCUGAGAGGAUGAUCAGCCACAUUGGGACUGGGACACGGCCCAAACUCCUACGGGAGGCAGCAGUGGAGAAUAUUGGACAAUGGGCGCAAGCCUGAUCCAGCCAUGCCGCGUGAGUGAUGAAGGCCUUAGGGUUGUAAAGCUCUUUCGUCCGGGACGAUAAUGACGGUACCGGAAGAAGAAGCCCCGGCUAACUUCGUGCCAGCCGCCGCCGUAA